GCCCGCUUGGCUCAGUGGUAGAGCGUGUCACUAGUAUUGGUCUAUGACAAGGUCAUCAGUUCGAUUCUGAUAGUGGGCA